GGGCUUUGGUAACACAAAUACUAAAAUUGGAAGGAUACAGAGAAGAUUAGCACAGUAGCUGCACAAGGAUGACGCACCAAUACGUGAAGCCUUCUGUAUUUUU